rnacentral:rRNA from 1 species
AGAGUUUGAUCAUGGCUCAGGACGAACGCUGGCGGCGUGCCUAACACAUGCAAGUCGAGCGAGGAACUUCGGUUCCUAGCGGCGGACGGGUGAGUAACACGUGGGUAACCUGGCUCAUAGAGGGGGAUAGCCUUCCGAAAGGGAGAUUAAUACCGCAUAAGAAGUGAGAAUCGCAUGGUUCUAGCUUUAAAGGAGUAAUCCGCUAUGAGAUGGGCCCGCGGCGCAUUAGCUAGUUGGUGAGGUAAAGGCUCACCAAGGCGACGAUGCGUAGCCGACCUGAGAGGGUGAUCGGCCACAUUGGAACUGAGACACGGUCCAGACUCCUACGGGAGGCAGCAGUGGGGAAUAUUGCACAAUGGGCGAAAGCCUGAUGCAGCAACGCCGCGUGAGUGAUGACGGCCUUCGGGUUGUAAAGCUCUGUCUUUGGGGACGAUAAUGACGGUACCCAAGGAGGAAGCCACGGCUAACUACGUGCCAGCAGCCGCGGUAAUACGUAGGUGGCAAGCGUUGUCCGGAUUUACUGGGCGUAAAGGGUGCGUAGGCGGACCUUUAAGUGAGAUGUGAAAUCCCCGAGCUUAACUUGGGGGCUGCAUUUCAUACUGGAGGUCUAGAGUGCAGGAGAGGAGAGUGGAAUUCCUAGUGUAGCGGUGAAAUGCGUAGAGAUUAGGAAGAACACCAGUGGCGAACGCGACUCUCUGGACUGUAACUGACGCUGAGGCACGAAAGCGUGUGGAGCAUACAGGAUUAGAUACCCCUGGUAGUCCACGCCGUAAACGAUGAAUACUAUGUGUAGGGGUUGUCAUGACCUCUGUGCCGUCGCAAACGCAUUAAGUAUUCCGCCCGGGGAGUACGGUCCCAAGAUUAAAACUCAAAGGAAUUGACGG